GGCGUCCGAGUUGUAAUUUGUAGAGGAUGCUAUUGGGUUGCCACCGGUCUAAGUUCCUUGGAACAGGACGUCACAGAGGGUGAGAAUCCCGUACGUGACCGGCCAGGCGCUCUCUGUAUAGCUCCUUCGACGAGUCGGGUUGUUUGGGAAUGCAGCCCUAAAUGGGAGGUAAAUUUCUUCUAAAGCUAAAUACCGGCCAGAGACCGAUAGCGCACAAGUAGAGUGAUCGAAAGAUGAAAAGCACUUUGGAAAGAGAGUUAAAAAGCACGUGAAAUUGUUGAAAGGGAAGCGCUUGCAAUCAGUCUCGACGGCGGCUGUUCGGCCUCUCUUCUGAGUGGUUUAUUCAGUCGCCGCCGGGCCAGCAUCAGUUUCGGCGGCCGGACAAAGGCGCGGGGAAUGUAGCUCCCUCGGGAGUGUUAUAGCCCCGCGUGCAAUACGGCCCGCCGGGACUGAGGUCCGCGCUUCGGCUAGGAUGCUGGCGAAAUGGUUGUAAGCGGCCCGUCUUGAAACACGGACCAAGGAGUCUAACAUCUACGCGAGUGUUUGGGUGUCAAACCCGUGCGCGCAAUGAAAGUGAACGGAGGUGGGAACCGCAAGGUGCACCAUCGACCGAUCCUGAUGUCUUCGGAUGGAUUUGAGUAAGAGCGUAGCUGUUGGGACCCGAAAGAUGGUGAACUAUGCCUGAAUAGGGUGAAGCCAGAGGAAACUCUGGUGGAGGCUCGCAGCGGUUCUGACG
rnacentral:rRNA from 1 species